rnacentral:piRNA from 1 species
UUCCCCUCAGGAGAGGAUUUACUAGGAUGC